rnacentral:lncRNA from 1 species
CUGUUACUCUUACCGGAGUAGUACUUCAUUGGCAAUAGCUGACUUGAAUCUAUUAAGUGAGGCCCUCAGAUUGUCCAAGAAAGUUUUACUGAAGGACCCUCAUCAGUUGGCUUCCCAGCUUAUAAGUCAUCUGCAUUAAAUUGUAGCUGCAAGUGACCAUAAGAAAAUAGCCCAACCUGCCAGUUCUUCUCUCCUGGUGCUGAGAAUCAUCCAUCCCUCUUCUUCUGCCUUCAGCAUCCUGCCUUCGUGUGCCUUGUGGGCUUCCCUGUGACCUCUUGUCAGGUGUUUGCCCUGAACAUUAUUGUUUAGCCUUUUGUUUU